rnacentral:rRNA from 1 species
AUGAUUCGGAUGUGGGGACCAUCUUUGACUGUAUUGACUUACAAAGGAUACGAGAUAAAUGGGAAUACAUUUUACACGAUCACCCAAGAUCAAAAGAGCACCAACCAAAACAGCGGUGUCUGCUUUGAUGCAGCAACCGAGAGCGGAAAUGACACAUAUUAUGGUUACAUAGUGGACAUAUGGGAACUUGACUACGGACAUGAUUUUAAGGUCCCUUUAUUUAAGUGCAAAUGGGUCAAUCUGUCAGGCGGCGGGGUACAUGUAGACCCACAGUACGGAAUAACAAUAGUGGAUCUGAAAAAUCUUGGGUACACUACGAACCGUUCGUCCUAG